rnacentral:rRNA from 1 species
AGAAGUUGAUCAUAGCUCAGAUUGAACGCUGGCGGCAGGCCUAACACAUGCAAGUCGAGCGGUAACAGAAAGUAGCUUGCUACUUUGCUGACGAGCGGCGGACGGGUGAGUAAUGCUUGGGAACAUGCCUUGAGGUGGGGGACAACAGUUGGAAACGACUGCUAAUACCGCAUAAUGUCUACGGACCAAAGGGGGCUUCGGCUCUCGCCUUUAGAUUGGCCCAAGUGGGAUUAGCUAGUUGGUGAGGUAAUGGCUCAUCAAGACAACGAUCCCUAGCUGGUUUGAGAGGAUGAUCAGCCACACUGGAACUGAGACACGGUCCAGACUCCUACGGGAGGCAGCAGUGGGGAAUAUUGCACAAUGGGCGAAAGCCUGAUGCAGCCAUGCCGCGUGUGUGAAGAAGGCCUUCGGGUUGUAAAGCACUUUCAGUC